UCUGGUUUUCUGGGGGCUAAUCUUCAAGAGUCCUGCUUGCUUUUUACGCUCCAUUGUUUUUUCUGCAAUCUUCUUCUGCAGGUUUAAAAUGCGUUCAUCUUUCAUGGGCCUUUCACCAGACUGGGACUUUUUCUUUUCUUCUUGCCUGAAAAAUCCAAAAGAAACAAUGAGAAGAUGGGACACCUGAGUUUUAAAAGAAGAAAGCAGGUCAGCACAACAACAUUGACUCCAGUGAGUAAAGACACUGCAUAGAAUUUUACACCUCUAAUAGCAGGUACCAUCUGUGCUAUGAUUUUCACAGAUUGGAAAUCAGCAAAAUUUGAGCAUCCCCGUAAAACAAAGGCACAAACAGAAGAAGCUAGCAAUUAAAUGCACUGGUGAGACUGCUCAAGUAUUUUUGUGAGCUUUUGAAGUGAAGUAGCAGUGAAAGUAUUUCCCAGAAGUAUCUAAGAAUUUUUAUUAUGCUUUUAUGGAUGGAGAAAUGAAAGCCCAAAAGAUUUGCAAAGAGUUCCACAGGCAGCCAAGAUAUCCAAGAAAGUUGAAUAUGUGUAAAUAAUUUUGCAUGUUAUCAGGUUUAUGCACCUGUCUCCAUUUGUCUCCUUUGCAAACCUCAAGGUAAAGCAUUCAUUUUUCCUUGCAGAAUUGCAUUUAUGAAUGUGUGCAUGAAUAUGGGCACUCUUGUGUCUACAUCCGUGUGCAUGUGUGCCAAGGCCAGUGGAGACAUGAAUUUAUAACCUUUAGACCAAAUAUUUGGAGUGAAUUGUUUUAUUAUUAAGUCUCCAAAUUAAAAUGUUUUUCUUUUUUACUUAGUGACCCCCAUUUUUGAUGAACAUUUAUGAUGAUGAAUGAUUAUCCUAAGCUUCUAGGGCCAUGUUACCCCAAGGCCAGUUACCUUCCAAGGCCAGUGGGGAAUCCCAUCUCACUAUAGGUCACUAGAAGUGCCCUGCCCUCUGCAAGGACCCAGAGCCCAGCCCUCCCCUGGGAAGGCAGAGUGUGCUCAGCACACAGGAUGGCACUGCCACCCCAGCUCCUGACCCAAUGCAUGUGACACAUCUCACCUUGCUUGGAAACAAAUGCCUGGAAUAAAAUAACACUAGAAAGCAAUACCUAAAAUAAUAAUCCUGCUCAUCAGAAUGAGCUAAUUGCAGCACAGGGAUGCAAUAACCUAUUGCUCAAAUUCCAGAUGCCUCUGUGUGGUUCUGUACAGCUGUUCCAGUGUGGAGCAGCAGCUGUGGGUCGUGGCUGCAAUAGUCCCUGCUGAUAAACCACGUGACAACUCCUUUGACAGGUGCAUCAGAACCAUGAGUAAAAAAUUGCUAUCUCCUACAAUGAACACUUUUGUGAGAAAAUGGAUGAGAGCAUUUCUGCAGCAGAUUAUGGGAUGUAAUGUGGAAGAGCUUUAUUUCUUUGUGUUCCUCUGAAUUGCAGACAGCCCUCCACCAUACAGGAGCCACACCAUGGCUGGCUCCCACCCUACUGACCCUCUCCUGCCAUGUGAGCUGUGGUUUCAGUCUCUGUUCAUUUCAGGAUGUAAAUUGGUGAUACUGGCAACAAUGUGGCAAAGUAAAGCGAAUCUUAAUUUGCAGAGAGAGGUACAGAAAUGAAUAGAAGGUUAUAUCCUUAUAUGUUACAUGCAAUGGAGCUUCCCCAGAACUUAAAAAGCAGAUGACAAUGAAAACUUACAAGUAUGAUGUUUUAUCUAUUCAGGGGCAUCAGGAAGCAAAUGUACAACAGCUGUGAAAGGACUUUUCUGAGAGAGAACCUUGCCUCUGGACACAGUUCCCAGAGAAAUGCUGCAGUAAGGAUAUGCCACAAUAUGCACCAUACUAGAGAAUUCUUGGAAUACAGCCCUGGAAUGGUCAUUCAGGCACUGCAGGGAUUGCAAAUGGAAACCUCUUCUUUGUGGGUGAAGUCUGUGCUACUUAGGGAGACUUAACUGAGGGGAGAAGCCAGACAGAGAUUAUGGAAAAAGACUCUUAGCUGCUACUGAAACUCAACUUUGGAGAACAAGACUGAUUUAAGCUAAACCAGAGGUUAGACAAGAAGCCAAGAAAAAAGGCUGAGUGCAUCUUCUGAGAAUGUGUAGUCCACGUUUGAUGCAUGAUGUCUCCCAGAGCUCAGAGGUGUGGGAACAAUGGAACUGCAAUAAUGCAUCAGAUGAGAUAUUCACCUUGCCUGAGGAGGCCAAAAGUAGCCAAACAGGUAACAACAGGACACCACUUGUGCCCAAAUAAUCUCCUAUCCAGUGGAGACUACAGCAUAAAAAUGCACCUGUGUGUCUACAUUUACUCUAUUACUCUGAGUUAACAACUCACUCAGAAGUGUUAGGAUGAACACAGAAGUUCUUGCUCUUGUUUGCACCUUGAGCAAGAAUGUACAUAGCCACUACAUGGCCUUGAGACAAGCAACAGGGUGACAGGAAGAGCAGCCUGGGGACAGCUGUGCCCCACAACAUCAGCACUGGCUGGCAAUCCAGAGGACCACAGGACAAAAUGUCUUGUCAUGAAACAUAAUCAGCUGAAUCAGCUUUCAGCACAAAAAGUACCAAAUGUUCUGUUUCUACAUGUAAAAAUCAAGACAAGUUGAGCAGGCUGCAGCUGUGUCACCUCAGGAAGUGAUCUCAUCACUACUCACCUAAACAAGACUGGGCAGGAGGAGUGCUUGGACAGGAAAUCCCAAAGGUGAGCCAAUUGUUGGUUAAGCCCUGCAGAUAAUCUAGUGACUCAAAACCUGAGCCACUGCUGUAAACCAGUUAGGAUACUCUCAGUAGAAAGUGCAUUGUGUCCUCUACAAAUUCCAUCAAGGACAUUUACAGUUUAUCUGUAUAUCUGAAAUAAUAAUGGCUUUGGGAGAGUAAUGUGUUGGGUAGGGUAAUUUCUAGCACUAAUUCCUAAAUGCAUUCUUUCUGUGGGGCUUUGUGCUGUGCUUUGUGUCAGUGGGAUCUAUUUCAGAGAGCAUCAAGUGAUCCUGUAAUGGUACAGUAUGACAGAUUGUAUGUUUAUAGCACCUUUUGUGUGAGGUUUUCAAAACACUUUACUAGCAUUAAUUGUAUUUAAUGAGAUUGCUUUUGGCUAAUAUAAUUUUUGUACAUGCAGGAACUAUGGCAUGGAGCAGGUAAGAGAUUUGCCCCAAGCAACACACUAAGUCAUUGGUGCCAACAAGAAUUAAUAAACACUAAUUUGUGAGCAUUUAUUCUGUCAGAACAACUUUUUACCUUUUUAAGUACAUUUUAAUCACAUAUUUUUCUGAAACAAUUAACAGUUAGCUAAGUUUGCAAGUAUGUCUGAGCCCUUCAGCAUAAGGAAGGCCAGAUAAUUUACAGGUAAAAGUAACACAUGCAGUGAUCAUCUUCUGUUCAUUGAAUAUUAAAAAUAUCAGAAAACAAAACAGAUCUUGAACAGAUACAAAUAUCUGAUAGUAUUCUCUCUAUGGCAUCAAAAUCCAGCUUUUUCUAAGUGUUUAAGUUGUAAAAAAAACCCUGAUUCUGUCUGAAUUUAUCCUGAAUGGUCCUGGUGAAAGAAUGUGAUUCUUGUCUAAUUAUGUGCUGAUUGAUUGGUGUUACCUUCCCCUGUUGGGAAAACCCUAAUACCUGUAGCCUGCUUCCAUGGAUGUAUUUUUCCUGCUCUCUGACACACAGCUGUAGCUGGGAAUCAGUCAAGUUUCCUCAAGGAGAGAAGAGACUGGGUAAGAAGGGCUUUGAACAAAAACAACUUUCAGCAUGGGUUAAUACAAGAAAUAGCAGGAAUUAAAUGGAGAAAUAUCUGCAAAAGGGAAGAUUUUUCACCAUGGGUGUAUCAUAAUAAGGCUGGGACCUGUUUGAAGGUGCCAGAGAGAUCAGAAAAGGAAAGAAAAGCUCUUCUCUCUGGAGUGAGAAAAGGAAAGAAAUACCAGCCAUGCUCUGUUUGAGACUUCUCAGGCUAAGGAUAUAAUUUAGGUGAAACAAACAUUUUAGAAAGAAGAUAAUAUUUGAUGAAAAGAUAAAAUAGCUUUCACCUCCUGAGAGAACUGUGCAAUAGUAUGUAGUGAACUUGUCUUCUAGGAAGAACGUGCACAUUUUGCAGAUACAGCCUGAUUAGUUUAGAGUGCUUCAGUUAUCAGUGCUAGUCCUCUCCAAGGGUCUAAUCAAAAUGCUGUAAAAAUGAAAGAAAAUAUUCCUACUGACGUCACCAGGGUUUGAAUCAGUCACCAGAACCCAGUAUUCUUUCUCUCUCAAGUCAGUGGGAAAAACCCCUGGGAUCUUUGCACAUAAGUAGGAAAAUAUCCUGCUUCUACUAUUCACCAUCUAUGUUGCAGUCACAAGCCAGUAUUUUUCAUCUAGAGCAGACAGUGCUGACCAGUGCUGUAUUAGGAGAUACAGGGAACAUUAUUUUCCCUUGUACUUAAUAUUAAACCCCAGAACACUGCAGAAAACUGAAAUUCCAUCAUUUCCUUAGAAAGAUCCUAAUCUGCCUUUAUGUCAGUAACUAAAAAAUACAAAUUAGACUUCUAUAAUUUAGUAGGAUUUUUAUUGCACCAAAUCUAUCAGUCUUGCAUUACAUUGUUUUCAUGUCUAAACCGAUGACUUUUGACAUUUGAGGAUUUUACUCCCAGUUGAGUAAAAUCAGUUGAGUGGGCAUGUGUGAGACACAGCUGAACCAGCACAAACGAGAACUCUGAAGAGUUGUGCCAAAUCACACCAUGUUCUUGUGAAAUGGGAAGCUCAUAAACAUAUCUUGCUAUCAGCAUGAGAGGGAUAAAGGAGCAGAACAGUGAAUUUGGGGUGGCAUUCUGGUUUCACAGAAAUAAGCUCUUGUGUAGCUGGGAUGUAUGUAGGAAAGUCAAUAUGAUGGGUCUGAUCCUGCAGCUCUGAUUGAGGCAGAUAAUUCCACUGAAAAUGAGGUAUGUGCAUAGAGAAAGGCACAGACACUGCAUGGUAACUCCUGUGUUAAAAUCUGUCUCUUGUUAUCACAGCCAAAGCUUGAUUCUGACAGUCACAAGGAAGAACAAUACCUGGGACACUUCACUUAGGUACAAAAUUUAAUCUUUUUUCAAAAUGAACAGAUGCAGUCCAUUCUUAUAAAAGGUCUGAUGAAAUGACAGCCUUUUGUACAACAGGCACUGGAUGAAAGAUCUCCUUUGGAUAUGGAUCAUUUUUGAUAGAUUUAAGUGAAGAAUGCUUAAUAAAAAGAAGGGAGUUUAAUACACAGGAAUGAAAAUAUUAUCUGGACAGCAUCAGUCUGAUAAAAAGAAGCAUUAAAAAGCAUUUAGGAAGAUAAACAAGGAGAAGUAAUCUGGCCAUUCAAAUGAAGAACAACAGGAACAGGGUGUAAAUUUGAAUGUGAAUAUAUAAUAAUUUAAAGAUCUGAGACAGACUAAGGAAUUAUUUUAAGUUCAUGUGUUAUUCAGGAUAAUUCAAAUUGAAUUCUGUUUUAAUAGCAACAAGGUCACAAUAUUGAAGCAAAAACAUUUAACUGGACUUAUUUGUUUUUAGGAGAUUUGAAGGAAUGAUUCUUUGUGAUUGAAAGUGAGGGUUUGUUUGUUGCAAUUAGGAAUCAUCCAUCAUACUGCUAAUGAAUCUGUGGUUUUAUUGAAAAUAUUUGCAGUGAAAAAUGAGUCCAAUAUUAUGUAAUAAAGAUUGUAAAUUACAGUACAAUAAACAUGAAGACUGUAAAUAACUAAAUUACAACUCAAAGUUCCUGGAAGAACAUAAAGUCUGAUCACUCACUGAGAACAAUAAACAGAAAUUCCUUUUAUGAUGUAAAGUUUACAUGUAGCAGAAAUAAAAUAAAGGGAGUUUAACACCUCUAGACUGAUUUUGAUCAUAACCUUCUAAUCUCCCAUUAUUCAAUAAUUUAAAAUCCUUCCACAUUUUAUCUCUUUUUUUCUAAAACAAAAGUCUAAUAAUCAGUGAGUUUUCCUAACUCCACUUUUAUACAGAAGCCUGAACUAGGAGUUGGAAGAUAGGAACUGAGGUUUUGAUGUGUCUUUCUUGCUUCCUGAGUGGCCUGGUAGAGGUCAUGUUCUCUCUUGACACCUUGGUUUUAAACACUGACAGCUCCCUGGCACUCAGCAAUUUGUUUAUGCAUUUCCAUCACACCAAAAGAACAUUCUAUCUUUAUACAUGCAGUGGUUCAGACACACGUGAACUAUUGUCCCAGUAAUAGUUUACCUUUCUUUAAUCUCACUUUCUUUUUUUUUUUGGCAUUAAUUUUCUGAUUUCCUGUUUGUAUAUUGAAACACUGAGUGGCUGCAUAGUGCAAGGAGUGAAAAAUGUAUCCCCAUGGUUAUUUGAUGUGGUAUCUUCUUGAUCUACCUCAAUUACAAAAAUGUAGGGAAAGAUGGGUGCUUUUUUCCAGCAGCACACAGGGAUUAGGUGUGCAGCCACUGCUGCUGUAAAUGAGCUGUGUAAAGCUAAAUCCCACAUACAGCCAGGAAAAAACCUCUGGAGAGCAGAAUCUAAUGCCAUCAUUUCCUACAAAUAAACUGCUUUUCUCAUGUACACCAAUGUAUGUACAGGGUAGUGCUGCUACCUUUGGGCAGCCCCUCUGGAAUAUACUCAGAAGCAGAGUGUACAGCCAAAUGUUUGCCAAAGGGAUUCUGUCCCAAAGCUUGAAAUAAGAUUUCCUACACUGAAAGAAUAUGUUCAGGUGGAAUAGGCAUUUGAAUAAAAUUAUAAAGAUGCAUUAAGAAGUUAAAAUGAUCAAGAGGUUGAUUCUGCUUCUGCUGAAGUUAAUGGAUAACCUCCCAUGUUAUUUGAGAGGAACAAGUUGAGAGCAGCUCACAUGGCCUCACACAUGUAACUGAUUUUUGACAGGAAGUUGUCAUUUUUUCAAGUUUUUACCUAACUAUUGGGAAAUAUUGAGUAGUUUCAAACCAAAUGCAGGGAGACAGCUGGGAAUGUAUUUUCAAAGUGGCACACAGGGGUCAGCAGUGCCUUACAAAUUUUGGCCUUUUGGUUUUCUUAUAAAAAUCCAUGCACAUUUUGCCAAGUGAAAAAUAGCCAGUUGCAUGUGUUUUAUGUGAAUUUAAACUGUAGCAGUGAACUCCCCUGAAGAUUCUGUGUGCCCCUACCAUGCCCAGUCCUGGGCUAGCAGAACUUCCACUACAAUACAGGGUGAGCCUGGGACAAGCCUUGCUGGCUCAGUGUGGGAGCUCAAACUGAGAGAAGAGAGCCUGUCUCACCUGUCUUCUCUGUGGCAUUUGCCUCUUUGAAAAGAGAGAGAAUUCUCAUUUGAUUGAGGUACAGUAGAGAUUGGAACUGAAUGGGCAAGGACUCUGAGGUGAGCAGAACAAUACCAAAGAGGUGAGCAGGACUUGCAGCACAGAACAAUAGACUGGAACCAACCACUUGAAGAGAUGGAACUGGAACAGCUUAAAUAAAGAGACCUGGGCAAGUAAACUUGAGGGUAAGAGAAAGGACAGGGAUAGAAAAAUGACAGAGCAUAGAACAGAACUCAGUUUAUCCUUCUCUGCCAUCCACUCAAUAGUUAUUAGCAGAGUAUUCCAAAACUCUACAGUGCAGCCAUUGUGCACUGUCAAAAUAUUAACAUUUCUACACAGCUUUUAUGAAAGACCAAAAUAUGCUAUAUUUUGACUUUUAUUUUAAUUAUUUAUGCAACCUUAUGUGCAUCUAGAAAUUAAAAAUAAAAUUUGCUGAAGAUUGACUAUGCUUCGAACUGUUGUCAGCUUUGCAGCAGCAGAGUGAAACCAAAAGAAACCUGUUGGAUUUUGAUCAGAAUACUCAAAAAUGACUGAUUGUAUACUUAGCAAAAGAUACAAUAUGAAAAUCUAUUAAUUCCUUCUUACAGUCAUUUGCAAAGCAAGUAUAUUUUCAACCUGAUGGCUUCAACCCAAUUUAUUUCUUGCCUCUUUCUUAUUUUUAUACAUUCAUAUUGUAAAGUCCUUCAUUUUAAAAUACAAUUGUUUGCCCACUUUCACUUUUUUCCUGUGCCUCAGUUCACCAGCUAUUUUUAUGGCUUUAAUUUGCAAGGAUUCCCACAAGAAUGGUCUCCUGCAGUUGGUAAAUUGUUGACAAGGAUAUUUGGAUCAAGACAGAUUGUGCCUUCCAGACUCCCUCCUGCAGCACUGCAUCCAACUUCCUUUCAUAACAUAUUCCCAUUUAUCAUGUACACAAAUAAGAACCCUAAACUUCAGCCUAGGAUGCUGACCUCACUCUGUGACAUUUUCUUCUGGUUGUUGUCAGUUUAAUUUCAACAGUGCAAAGACAAAGCUUCAGCACACUCAUGCUCCUUCUUUCCUCAGUUAUUGGUUCUAUUGCCACCCUGUCAGUCAAACCCAUAACUCCAGAGGUCAUUUUUCAUGCAGAUUACUCCCCAGGAUAUCAUCACCAGUUUAUGUGCACAUCUUCUUCACUCUUUUUGAACAGUAUAUUUCAAAUAGUAUUUUCCUAUCACUUCCUAGCUAAAAUUCUAAGGUAGUGUCUCAGAAUUUUCUAUUUUAUUGAAAUAAGUGUCUCUGUUGUGGGUUUAACCAACCCAAUCUUAGUAAACCAACCAUCUGGAAUGCUACUGUGAAGUUCAUCCUGCUAGUCCAGUGAUUUGACCCACUUACUCCACCUACCAUCUCACAGUUGAUGCUAGCACAUAAAACUAAAGCUGCCUGUCAAGAUGCUUCACAACUCAGUUCCAUUCUGCAUUUCAUUUCUUACUCUUUACUGAUGUCUUUCCCAUUUCUGAUCAGCCAAGGAUGCCCAUCCCUUAAUUUCCUUUGUUAGAUUUCCAAAGGAGUAAUUUUGUUUCAUUUCAAUCAGUUCCUACAUAUACUUAUAUUACUCUUAAAUCUACUUUAUUCUGACAGAAGUUUUGCUCUGCACAAUGCCCUUGGCUCCUGGCCGUUCAGGUGACAAUGUGUGGCUGUCAGAGGUUCUUAUUUUGAGGAUCUGGCACUUGACAAGACUGGCAUCACUGCAGCCCUGCCAGUGGGGUGCUGAACUCCCUUGAACAUGUUCUGGAAUGACUUGUGUGUACUCUGUUUUUAUUGUGAGGGAAAUAAUCUAGCCCAAAAUUGUUGGUUUCACCAGGAACAUCCCCAGCCAGAUGAACAACAGGCUAAGGAGGAUAUUUUAUGGAGGCCAUCAAAAAGUUGUCAAAGAACUAAACAAGACACCUCAGAUCCCUCAUUAGAAGGACACAAAGACUCUAAACCAAUAAAGAUAUACAUCAUGAAUGAAACCUCCAGUGUUAACAUCUGAAUGCACUGUAGGGGGAUGGAAAACUAUUAAAAUAAAAGAACAGAAGAUUGUAGAGAAGUCAACUGUGAUAUACUGCACACAUAAGUCAGCAAAUAAAUAAAUAUGGAGCUGUGUCUUGUAAUUACUUAGAUUUGGUCUCUUGGAAUCUGACUCUCCUGAUUUCUUUUCUGAUCAGGAGACAACCUGAGCUUUGCUAUUUGUUAUGCUGCUGGCAUGACACAAACAGGUAUGAAUCUAGUCUGUGAUUUAGAGCCAGGCUGUUAAUCAAGAUACAAACUGAAGGAAGUUUCUGCAUGGAUUAGUUAAUAUUGGCUAAAUAGUUAAGUUACCAAGCCUGGGAAUCAUGUACAAAAAUGCUACAAUAUUUUUAGAAUCAUAUGCUUUUUAAGAAACAGUAAAGAAAUAAGUAAGAAAUUUUUCAUGAUGAAUUUGAUACUAAAACAAAGCUGAAUUUUCUAUAAACACAGACCUUACUUUUUACUUCCUUUGAUAAAUCCUGUGUAGCAGGUGUCCAAAAACUAGCCCAGAGAAAGAUUGUGGCCCUACUUUGGCCUCAGCUAUCCUCCUUGUCCUUCCCCUUCUGAAAGGGUUUAUUAUGAAACUUUAUAUUCAUAUUUCUCUAUUAGAGUUACUGGAGUUUUGUCUUUGUACCACUUUUCCUGGGCUGAGAAGAAAAAUUAUCUGAAGACUCAUUUUUAUACGCAUUUAUUUUGGCAGCAGUGGUAACUGAAUUUACCUGCUCUCUGCCCAGUGAAAAAUGACUAUUUUGAAACUGGAUCAGUUCCCUGAUGCAAUUCAGAAUAUGAAUCACAAAGAAUUAUGCCAGUACUACAAGGCUGGAGGGCAGGAAAGAAGGGGCCUGAGUGGCAACUGUUGGAGAAGGCAAGCACCCAAGGAAUGGGUGUGCAGCCACUGCUCAGCCCCAGCUUAUCACACCUCCACGGUUUUAUAUUCUUUUAGUCAUUUGUAUUUAUGCAAAAUCAAUGCAAAAAACUAUCUGACUGGAAUAGCAGUGGUUUCUACCUUACUGUCAGAAGGGGAAACGAGCACUGGAGCCUCAUGGCAGUGUGGAAUCAGGGCUCCAACAAUGCCAUUUGACAACAAUGGCACACAGACAAUAGCAGCCUAAACAACAUUGCUGUCUUCUAUGGUUUGCUAAAGCUGAUUCACUCCAGUAGCUGCCUCAGCACAAGUCAGGGUGACACUGAGGACAGGUGACACACUAUGGUCAGGAAGGGAUGGGAACUGCUUCAGCCAGAACAGAUACAAAUGGGAAAAACAUGGUCUGGUUACUUGCAGUGUUAAAUUAGAUUCUGAUGGCUGGUUUAUUGUCACUGUCCUUCUAUCCCACUGUUGUGGUGGUCACUUAUGUCCUCAAAGCAAGAAUACCUGAUCCUGUGACUCAGCUUCUGAACUGCACUUGCACAUACAAAUGGGUGGUGCUGUCAGAAACUUCUGCUUGGAAGGAAGAAAAGAAUAAGAAUCUUCAAAACAGCUUAGUCAGAAGUGGAACAGAAGUUUUCCUAUGACUAUCUCAUCAAUUUUAGAAGGUUGUUGCUUUUUCUUUUUUCCCCUUCCUCUUGUUGCUAUCCAAGCAGUUUUUCAGCCUCUCUGAUCUUUACUGCCUUGUUUUCUGGUGAUAACCAUAAGAAAUUUGGACUUUACUCAUGAACGAAAAAUGUCACUGUAAGGGAAAUCAAUGAAAAUUACAACAACAUUGUAGAAAACAGAUACCUUUGCAUUUAAAAUCACACAGUAACAAAGUAAACUGUGUAAGAUCAAACAAAACUUAAUAUACCUGCAACAACACAGCUGAUUCAUUCAAGAAAUCCUCCACACUCUGAUUCUCAGGGUUAAACUUGUUAAGCUGUUGCACUAUUAGUGCAAUAAGUUCUCUGUGGCUGACCAUCUUCACCAUGGAGAAUCCUAUAAAUACAGAAAAUCAUUAUUUUUUUGUGCCUCCUUCAGCUGUGGCAUAAUGCAUGGUGAUAGGCUCAUACAGAAGUCACACUGCAGUAAUGUGGAAGAGAACAUUUAGGUCAAACUUUCAAAAUCACAGUUACUCAGAACAGCUGACAGGAGAAAUGAAAAUACAGUACAAACGUUGAGAAAAUAGAAGACAAAAUUACAUAUUGCAAAAAUCUCAAAAUAUCUUAAGGAUAAAUGUUACUGUACCAAGUUAAUUGACAAAAUAUAAUUAAAGAUAAUAUAGAAAAAAGCAUGGAUUUUUGCCUGUGUGCAUACAGGUCCUACUUAACACACUGCUCUUCUCAGUGAGAUGCAUCAGAAAGCAAAAUUUUAGUCUUAAAUUUCAUCACAUGUUGCUGUAAACAGCCUGUUUUUCCAAAUCAACAAAAGAACAGGAACAGAGAGGAAUUAUAAGGAAGCAGUGACUGUUGGUCAGCAGGCUGGGCCAUGAUCACAGCAUUUCAGGGGUCUGGGCCACUGCCAAGGCCUCCGAAGGCACAGCAGUGGAGUAUUUAUGUUUGAUGCUUUGCUUGUGAAAUGACUGGAUUUUGGCUAUCUCAAAUGAAGCCUUACCCAUAUGUCUGAGAAUGUGUAGGACCUUUUACCUCGAUUUUAAUGUUCAGAUGACAAGAACUAUAAUGCAUUUUUUCCUACACACACAUGUCAUUGUGUAUGAAAGACCAAUGACAGCAAUUAUCAGGCCUGAAAGUCAUUAAGCUGGUUUAUUAAUGGGAAAAAAUGAGAAUAAAAGUAACUUUCCAUGGUGAAAAUAAAAAUGUAAUUUUGAAAAUAAUUCUUGUAUUUUACAUAUCAUCAUAUUUUGAUGUCAGAAAAGAAUGCCUGAUCCAGAUGAUUCAUUCCCACUGUUGUAAACAUAAUUCAUUUCUUGCUUUUAAAUACUGUGAUAACAUUUCCAGACACAGUGGUAUUGUACUCUGCCUUUCAGCACCGUCUUACUCAAUAAUUGCCUAAAUAGCACUUUUCAUUACUAAUCUCAAAGAAAUGAAAAAAAGAGUUUGUCUGUGAUUAUGUUCAAUAUAUCUAUUUAGGUACCUGUUAUGAUCAAGACAAAAUGUCCAAAUAAAAAAAAAGCCCAGCAAAACAGGGUUGGAUUAUGACAAGGGAUGGCAAAUACAGAAAGAGGCACCACUGUGCAAGGGAAUCUCUGUUACUCCACUCCUCUGAGAGUAAUUUGUUUCUCAGAACUCCACAAUUACAGAAUCACAGAACUUCUAGGUUGGAAGAGACCUUUAAGAUCAUCGAGUCCAACCCAUGUUGUAACACCUCAACUAGAUCAUGGCACCGAGUGCCACAUCCAGUCUUUUUUUUAAACACAUCCAGGGAUGGUGACUCCACCACCUCCCUGGGCAGAUGAUUCCAGUGUUUGACCACUCUUUCUGUGAAAAGCUUCCUCCUUAAGUCUAGCCUGUAAAUUAAAUAGUUAUUGCACAAAACCUUCUGCAAAUAAGUUGUGCUAUGUUUAUGAGGUGGGUUAGCAAAUGGACGCCAAGGCUGGCUACUUGCCCAAAAUUUCAGGGAGCAAAUCCCAGCAACCCCGUCCACAGUGGUUACAGUGG